UACGUAGGGGGGCAAGCGUUGUCCGGAAUCAUUGGGCGUAAAGCGCGUGUAGGCGGCUCGAUAAGUCCGUUCUGAAAGUCCAGGGCUCAACCCUGGGAUGCGGAUGGAUACUGUCGAGCUCGAGUCCGGAAGAGGCGAGUGGAAUUCCUGGUGUAGCGGUGAAAUGCGCAGAUAUCAGGAGGAACACCAAUGGCGAAGGCAGCUCGCUGGGACGUGACUGACGCUGAGGUGCGAAAGCGUGGGGAGCAAACAGG
rnacentral:rRNA from 1 species